CGCAGCCGCGGGCUGAAGGGCGCCGUGAGCGGGGCCAGAGCGGACGCCGAGGCGGAGGAGGCGCCGAGAGCCAGCGAGGGCUGCUAACACGUUGUCACCUCUCAGUGCCGUCCCUGGCCGCCUGGUAGCAGCUGUAAUGAAUAAAGGACUAAAGAAAAACCGUAAGAAAAAGAACCUUCCCGGUUAUUUCAUCGUAGCUGCGCUGGAAACAAUAUUUGAAACUGAGUACAAUGCAGAAAUAGCAGCUCAGAGAGGCAAGUGACCUGCCCACGGCCCCGGGAACCAGGUCUAGAGGGACCCUGCUGUAUCUUUGCCUGAGAGAUGGAGCUGUCUGUUACCGGCACAGCCUGAAGGGGAAGAAGACCGUGGAAGGGAGAGGGCAGGGAGCUGCCUCACCUGCUAACUCUUCUCGAUUGAACCAGCUCUCCACUUGGGAAUUUGACUGCAACAUGACUUCUCAGGACACCAGACAUCCUAGCCUUAAGAAGGGCACAGGCACUAUGAAAGAUACCACCUAACCCUAGUCCACUCUAAAGCACUGUGCAAUGGCAUCAGAAUGGACUGGAGAGGCAGGCAGAAUUGGUUUUAAAUCGUGGCCCCCAGGACCUGCCUGGACCUGCCUGGACCUGCCUGGCCUUGGGUGAGGAGACAGAGGAGGAACCCAGUGACUUUUUUGCAGUCGUUCACGUUUUGGCAACUUUCUUCUUUAUCAAGCUUUAGUGCAAAAUCAUGAGACUCUGUCUUUGAGGGCCAUCAUCAUUCCUGUACAAAUGAAAAAAAUUCUGUAUUGCUUAAGGUAAGAAAGAAAAAUCUACUAGCUCUUAUACUCCACAAUGCUAAAGUGUCAUAUUUUACAGAAAAUUUUUAUUCACACGAAUUCCAAUGCAGAUGUCUCUGGUUCAUUGGCUGUCCUGGGGGAACUCCCUGAAGAAUGGUUGGGGGUUCAGACUGCUUCCAGCCUGGGAAAAUCAUCCUCACAUGUCACUAGUAAAGAGGGAGGCUCACACCUGGGAGAUGCUUUAUAUGGGGUCAACGUGGGAAAAGAGUACAUCAUUUCUCUCACACUCCAUUUUCCAGACCUGGUCAGACGGCCCACCCUGACACACAAGGUGGUGGAAAAUAUGUUUUCUAUGUUUCCAGAAAUGUGAAGGAAUGAACUGGUUAAGAUGUAAUAUUACUUCUACAAGGAAAAAAAAAUAACAGAAACAAAAAUAGAAAGGCAAAUAUUCUGCAAAUGAUUUUUCCCGUUGGAAACUUGAUUAUGAUUGAAUUAUAAGGAUCAAGUUUUGUGGCUGGAAACAGAAUUAUUACAUCUAAUGUAAACCGUGCUUAGAGGCCGGUAAAAUGCAGGAGGAUGAGGAUGAGGAUGUAGAUGGCUUCUUGCCUGCCAGCUGACUUCCAGAAAGACAUUCACAAGCAUGGUGGGCCUGAGAUUCCUGGGUGAUUUUUUGGAGGUUAAUUCUCAGUGGAAACGUUGUAAAAUCUGAAGGGCCAGCCAAUCAGAAGCCCUCUCUGAUUCUGUCUUGGCUUCUUUUAGAGAGUGGGGUGUGGAAAAAGUUGGCCAUUUUUGGAGAAUGGAACAGUCUUUACCCGCCUGGCAUUCUUGCCUUAUAAAGGCAUUGUACUUUCUCAUACACUGGGAGGCUUGGGUUUUUUUAAUGAUUAUAGAAAUUUUUCACCACGAAUUUUUGGAAAGAAAUAUUGUUGUUUCUUAUGAGGUUGAUAGAGAAAAAAUUAGUUAAGAAUCAAGGGAAAUAAAAUGCCCUGUGUGCAAAUACAAUGACUGUAGCCAGAGGGAAAACAUCAGACAUAGAGUUGUCUUUAAGAAUAAAAACACUAAGCAGACUUGUGCAAGAAUAUCACAUUCGCAGUUAAUCUGCAGAUGAAGUCUCAAGGCUCCAGACAACCUCUGAAACGAAUUGCUUCCUACAAAGGUGAAGCAUCCAUAAUUUCGCUCAUCCUUAGGAAUAGUAGGCUGAAUUUACUGUGAUCCAUUUGCAUCAGGGCAUUGGCCUGCAGUGAACAUUUCUCUUCAUAUCUUAGUUUCCAGGUGCCUGGGCAGAGAUUCUUUCAAUGAUAGUCAUUAUUCCAGUGCUGAAAAUUCUAAAAUUCAGAAUCAAGCAUCUUAUAGCCUGUAUUAAUCUGCUAUGGCUGCUCUAACAAGUAGCAAAGAUCGUGUGGCUAAAAUAACAGAAAUUCAUUCACUCACGAUUUUUGGAAUCUUAGUUUAAGGUGUCGUCAGGGUCGGCUACUUCUGAAGCCUCUCUUUUUGGCUUGCAGAUGGCCAUCUUUUUCCAGUGUCUUCAUAUGACCUUCUCUCUGUAGCAGCCACACUUCCUUGUUUUAUAAGGACACGAGUCCCAUUAGAUUAGGGUUCACUCAUAUGCCUUCAUUUUGAUUUAACUACUUCUUUGAAGACCCUGUCUCCAAACAAGGCCACAUUUGGAGGCCCUGGGGGUGCGGACUUCAACGUACAAAUUUUGAGAGGACACAAUUCAGCCUGUAACAAAACCCCAUUUUCUGAACUGCCGGCAAGGUUCUAUGAGACACCCCUAAAUAUUCUGGAAGGACAGAAGUUAAAAGUCAAACAAGAAGCUGCAAAUAUGUUAUUUUCUUCUACAUACAAUGCCUAAUCUAUUCCCUUGGAUUCUUCAGCCCCAAAGAAAAGGCAUUCUCUUCUGGCACAAAUGAGUUGGAGUUUGGUUUCCUAUUACUUGCUAUGCAAAGAACUCUUAAACACCAUAUUCAUAGAGUCCCUUCUCCAACACAUUCCUUCUCAUUGACAAGGACAUCUCCUCUGUACUUUCUUCAACCUAAGCACUACUGUCCUACCUCUUGGUUUUAUCAUGGAUGUCUAAUACUCCUCUCCCUCUUGAAGGUUCUUUUUCACUCUGAUCUUCUGAAUUUACCUCCCUAGGAUCUCCUUUCUACUUGCUUAGAGCAAAGAUGAUGUUGUUAUAGAAACCUUUCCUUAUUAACAUCAAUUGGAGAUGACUUGGGAAAAGAAGUUAGGUGCCUUAGGGGCUGCUAAGAAGGCAAACAUACAAUAUUAUUAUUUGUACACACACACAGAAAGUUAUGUUCCAAAAUUCUGUUCAAAGUUAACCUUCCCUUAGAAGCCUUUCAAGUGUAAUCCCGUGUCUAAUGACCAAAUCAUGUCACAUGAAAUCACCACUUAGUAGUGAUGCGUUUGGCAUAAUAUGACCUGAAAGUCAAAUAGGCAACCAUUCAUACUGCUCUCUACUCCUUUUCAACCCUGUUUUCUCACUUCAUCCUCCUCAUCCUCUUAAAUACCAUAUUGGCUCUUUCUAUAAGCAUGAAGAAGGAUAUUAGAUGAAGGUAUAUCAUCCUUGUAGCUCAUUCUGGGCAGCUGUCUUCUGUCUGUAUUCUACAAGUAUCCUAAAACCCCAAACGAUGAGACCGUACUGUCAAAAAUUCUUCUAGAUAUAUUCAUCUUAG